rnacentral:piRNA from 1 species
CAAAUGGUAGAGCGCUCGCUUAGC